GCUGGUGUGGCUCAGGGGCAGAGCAGCUCACUCGUAAUGAGCAGGCCGUGGGUUCGAUUCCCACCACCAGCUCCA
rnacentral:tRNA from 1 species